rnacentral:rRNA from 1 species
UACGUAGGCAGCAAGCGUUGUUCGGAGUUACUGGGCGUAAAGAGUGCGUAGGCGGUCUUUUAAGUUUGGUGUGAAAUCUCCCGGCUCAACUGGGAGGGUGCGCCGAAAAACUGGGAGGCUUGAGGAUGGGAGAGGCAUGCGGAAUUCCUGGUGUAGCGGUGAAAUGCGUAGAUAUCAGGAGGAACACCUGCGGUGUAGACAGCAUGCUGGACCAUUUCUGACGCUGAGGCACGAAAGCGUGGGUAGCAAACAGG